GAAAGAUAUGUCAACAGUACAGAAAAGCAAAGAUGAACCCUUUUACCUUUGCAUAAGGAACUAGCCAGAACAAAUUUAGCAAAGAGAACUUUAGUUAAAUACCCCGAAACCAGACGAGCUACUUAUGAACAGCUAAUAGAGCAAAUUCGUCUAAGUGGCAAAAUAGUGAAAAGCCAACCAUGCCUGGUGUUAGCUGGUUUCCAGAACAGAAUUUAAGUCCAGCUUUAAAUCCUACCCAGAGAAAACCUCAUUUGCAUGUAGAUUUAAAUGUUAGUCUAAGGGGGUACAGCUUCUUAGCAUCAGGUAAAAAACCUUAGAGAGUACACAUAAUUACAUCCAUAAUUGACCUAAAAGCAGCCAUCAAUUAAGAAAGCAUUCAAGCUCACAAACCAAUAAACCACUUAAUCCCACCCUACUUAAAUAACUCCUAACAGACGAAUCUAUUUCUGUAUAGAUGCGGCACUGCUAGUAUUAGCAACGAGAACUGUUUCUCCCUGCACAAGCCCGUAUCAGAUCGAAUGCCCACUAAUAAUUAACAGUCAAAUAAGAUUUAAACUUAAUUCUAGACCUUAGGUCACAAACUGUUGCCCCGACACAGGAGUGCACACUUUAGGGGAAAGAUUAAAAAGAGUCAAAGGAACUUGGAAAACACACACCCCGCCUGUUGACCAAACACAGCACCUCCAGCGUGAAUAGCAUUAGAGGCACUGCCUGCCCAGUGACACGUUGAACGGCCGCAGCAUCCUGACCGCGCAAAGGCGGCGUAAUCAUUCGUUCCUUAAACAGGGACAUGGAGGAACGGCCACACGAGGGUUUAACUGUCUCGUGCUCUCAGUCAGUGGAACUGACCUUCCGUGAAGAGGCGGGAAUAAACAAAUAAGAUGAGAAGACCGUAGGGAGCUGUAAUUAACUAGCUCACAGGCCAUCCCGCUAAACCAACACGGGAUGAAAAACGUAUACUGAGUUCGCAAUUUCGGUUGGCGUGACCUCGGAGAACAAAAAAUCCUCUGAAAGACCUAAGCUAAGACCUAACAAAUUGAAGCAACUUAAAAAUAAUCGACCCGAUAAUAUUGAUCAAUGGAACGCGUUACCCUGGGGAUAACAGCGCAAUCCUGUUCCAGAGUUCAUAUCGCCCUACAGUAGGGCUACGACCUCGAUGUUGGUCAGGACACCCCAGUGGUGCCGCCGCUGUUAAUGGUUCGUUUGUUCCAUGAUUAAAGUCCUACGUGAUGUGAGUUCAGACCGGAGUCCUCUAGGUCGGUUUCUAUCUAUCAGAUAUUUCUCCC
rnacentral:rRNA from 1 species